AGUGAACGCUGGCGGUAGGCCUAACACAUGCAAGUCGAACGGCAGCACAGUAAGAGCUUGCUCUUACGGGUGGCGAGUGGCGGACGGGUGAGGAAUACAUCGGAAUCUACUUUUUCGUGGGGGAUAGCGUAGGGAAACUUACGCUAAUACCGCAUACGACCUACGGGUGAAAGCAGGGGAUCUUCGGACCUCGCGCGAUUGAAUGAGCCGAUGUCGGAUUAGCUAGUUGGCGGGGUAAAGGCCCACCAAGGCGACGAUCCGUAGCUGGUCUGAGAGGAUGAUCAGCCACACUGGAACUGAGACACGGUCCAGACUCCUACGGGAGGCAGCAGUGGGGAAUAUUGGACAAUGGGCGCAAGCCUGCUCCAGCCAUACCGCGUGGGUGAAGAAGGCCUUCGGGUUGUAAAGCCCUUUUGUUGGGAAAGAAAAGCAGCAGGUUAAUACCCCGCUGUUCUGACGGGACCCAAAGAAUAAGCACCGGCUAACUUCGU
rnacentral:rRNA from 1 species